UACAGGGGGGGCAAGCGUUGUUCGGAAUUACUGGGCGUAAAGGGCUCGUAGGUGGCCAACUAAGUCAGACGUGAAAUCCCUCAGCUUAACUGGGGAACUGCGUCUGAUACUGGAUGGCUUGAGUUUGGGAGAGGGAUGCGGAAUUCCAGGUGUAGCGGUGAAAUGCGUAGAUAUCGGAAGGAACAUCAGUGGCGAAAGCGACUUCCUGGACCAGUACCGACGUUCAGGCACGAAAGCGUGGGGAGCAAACAGG
rnacentral:rRNA from 1 species